rnacentral:rRNA from 1 species
GACGAACGCUGGCGGCGUGCUUAACACAUGCAAGUCGAGCGAGAAACCUUCGGGUUUCUAGCGGCGGACGGGUGAGUAACACGUGGGUAACCUGCCUCAAAGAGGGGGAUAGCCUUCCGAAAGGAAGAUUAAUACCGCAUAAUAUUACAGUUUCGCAUGAAGCAGUAAUUAAAGGAGUAAUCCGCUUUGAGAUGGACCCGCGGCGCAUUAGCUAGUUGGAGAGGUAACGGCUCACCAAGGCAACGAUGCGUAGCCGACCUGAGAGGGUGAUCGGACACAUUGGAACUGAGACACGGUCCAGACUCCUACGGGAGGCAGCAGUGGGGAAUAUUGCACAAUGGGCGAAAGCCUGAUGCAGCAACGCCGCGUGAGUGAUGAAGGUCUUCGGAUUGUAAAGCUCUGUCUUUUGGGACGAUAAUGACGGUACCAAAGGAGGAAGCCACGGCUAACUACGUGCCAGCCGCCGCAGUAA